rnacentral:rRNA from 1 species
CCUACGGGUGGCAGCAGUGAGGAAUAUUUGUCAAUGGGCUUACGCCUGAACCAGCCAAGUCGCGUGAGGGAAGACUGCCCUAUGGGUUGUAAACCUCUUUUGUCAGGGAGCAACGCCUGCUACGUGUAGCCGGACUGAGAGUACCUGAAGAAAAAGCAUCGGCUAACUCCGUGCCAGCAGCCGCGGUAAUACGGAGGAUGCGAGCGUUAUCCGGAUGUAUUGGGUUUAAAGGGUGCGUAGGCGGAAUGCCAAGUCAGCGGUAAAAGCGCGGGGCUCAACCUCGCUCCGCCGUUGAAACUGGCGUUCUUGAGUGGGCGAGAAGUAUGCGGAAUGCGUGGUGUAGCGGUGAAAUGCAUAGAUAUCACGCAGAACUCCGAUUGCGAAGGCAGCAUACCGGCGCCCAACUGACGCUGAAGCACGAAAGCGUGGGUAUCGAGCAGGAUUAGAUACCCCGGUAGUC